GUCAUUUUUAUUGGUAUUGCCAGUGGAGAAAGGAGCAAAAGUAUCAUUAUACCAAACAAAAGGUAGGUAAUAGCGUCACUUAGUUUUAAAGUAUCACCGAGAAUUGUAGCUACCAUAAGAUAUACACCGAGAACCACACUAGAGAUCUGUGUGAACAUGAAAUGACUGUGCUCUGCUGCGUUGUCCUCAUCCAGUGAUGGAGUGCAAGGCCUAACAAAAUACAUCACCAGAACACAUGCGGUGGGGAUCCCCAAAGCAAGCAACAGCAAAAGGUUUGUGGGAGAGUUCUGAAGCAUUCCAUUAAAUGUUUCUGUGUAGACAGCAGCACUCACAGCAACAUAGCCCUUGAUCAGACCAGCAACAGUUCCCCGGCUGAGAGGAAAGUUCCUCAUAUUGGUCACAAGUGCAGCGGUGCCCAACCAUGCGCUGCUGUUUGUGCCAAUACAUAAGGCUAUGCACAACUGCAAGAGG
rnacentral:sRNA from 1 species